AAGCAUAAAUCUCAGUUAAGCAUGAACAACCCAAAUUAAGUAUUUUCAGAAUUUCACAUUAACUUAGGCAUGGCUUGGGGUUCGGCUAUCACUUAUCGAAGCACGAUGCUAAAAAUGGAGAAGCGAGUGAAUCCAGUGCCCUCUUGUGAAUUCAAAUGAAAUCCUUGUGAGAGUCCAAAUAGUCGUUAUCAGAAUGUUCAAAAUAUCUGAGACUAGAACGUAACGGGAAAAAGCAAAAAAAUGAACGUUGUUAUGGAUGGCAGGAAAAAGCAAAAAAAGCAUAUCGGGGUUAUAUAAAACCAUUUCGUCUUUCAUUUACAACAAGUAUUCUUCCUGUUAGUGUUUCGUUAUGUUUCUGUUCUCUCUCUCUGUUAUAUUUUUUUUUCUCUGUCUUCUAUAGGAUCUCUUUGUUUGUUCAGGAUUUUUCAUCUUUUUGUUUGUUUUGUUUUCUCUAGGAUUUUUGAUCUUUCUGGUAAGGGUUUUGUUACAGCGUGCACGCUGGUCUGUAUUUCCAUUUUAUUUUGGUUGGUUUCUCUGUGAUUUUUUACCUUUUUUUGGGUUGGUUUUUCUGUGAUUUUUUGCCAGUUUUUUUGGUUGGUUUCUCUGUUUUACAUAGGAACAGGCUGAACAGGGGAAGAUGCAGAGCAAAAGGAAGAGACAGGGCAAAAGGCAGCGAUAACUGAUAGAGGCAAAAUCUUUGUUCUAGACUAGAUAAUGAAUUUGUGCAGGAAUAUUUGGCAAGUGAGGAAGGAUGGAGGAGUUGUGCUACAAGUUGAUUCUGCUAUUUUGGAUUGAACGAUAAAACCACCAAGGAGGGAUGGAGGAACUGAGAGACAGGUUAAGAGGGACAUUCUCAUCUGCCUGAAAUUGAAGGCUCUGCGCCAGUGUACAUUCAGGGAUAAACAAUUCAAGCAGAUAGUGCAAGCUCACAAACCACUCACAGCAACCUCCUCAACGUAAAGUAUUGGAUCCUGAUGCAAAUUUCCAACAUGUUGGAGGCAAAAUCAUUGCAGCUAUACCUAGUUGUUCUUGGAACAUGUUGCUGAGAAGUUGGUUAACAAGAUUGCAAAGAAAGCUAAACAACUUUGUCUAUUAGUUGUUUUCAAUAUUGAUUUAGAAAGCUAAACAACUUUGUCAAUUAGUUGUUUUGAAUAUUGAUUUAGAGCAGCAAGGGAUGGGAUUAGGUAUUUUACCAUUUUUUAGUCAUUUCUUGGUCAAUUACAUUGACUUGGUAUGGUAGCUUUGUAACAUGUACAAAUACAAUGAUUAAUAAAAGAAAGUUAUUGAAAGGGGUUAAAACCCCUUUUAGAGACUGAAAGGAAUGGUCAUUGGCCAUGACCAUUCUUUAA